GCACAACAAGUGAAUAAAAAAACGAAUGAUAUAGCAUAUAUACGAUUCAUAUUCCAUGGCAAGAUUACAUAGCCCAAGUUGAGACAAUUUCACGGUGUCUGAUUUUGUUGUGUUUGAAAUCUGCAUAUUCCUCAUGCAUGCAACAGCAGCUGUCCCACGAAAAUCUCUUUAUGAAACAUGCAAUAAUCACCCGAACCAAUUGCGAAGACGCCUGCAUGUACAAUUAUUUCAGACCAUGCGUGGGUUUUAUUGAGAUAUUUGUUCAAAACAAUAUCUGUAUAUGUAGAAAAUUAAUAUUACUUUGAAUUUUCAUCAGCCGAUCAGCUCAAAAUCCGUUGAACACAAAGGAUAAUAAUGAGUUGCGUUAAUUAAUUCAGGCAAUUUCGCUCAGUCCCAAAAUUUGUCUUAAGUCAACUCAUUGAACGCCAAGUAACAUGAAGCGGAGGUCCAUGCACACACGAUCGUUCUCAUAACAGACUCAUGGCGUUAAAGUAGGACAAAGUUAUCGAAAAAAGGACGUUUCUUCCCAAAUGGCCAAUGAGUACCACUGAGAUUAUUUUAUCACUGGAAUGCAGUCUAUUGGUACUCUUUCUUCUCUUGAUGGUUGGCACACUUCUCUUGUACAGAUUGAGAAAUACGGCAUCUCGUAACACAAAUAGACCAAACGAUUCUGGGAAUAGAAAGUACAUUGUUCUACCGCAUACCAGCGCAGAACCUGUUCCAGUUGAGAGAAAUGUCAAACUGGUAAACAAUGUAGGAGAUGAUGAAAGUGCAGAUCAUCCACUGCUUGGUGACAGAACUGAAGCUGGCCGGCUGUAUUUUUCUCUUAAAUAUGAUGAAAAAAGCUCUAUCAUUACCAUAAAACUCAUCAAAGGGGAAAAUCUACCAUUGAUAACCAAAGACGAGACGAAGGCGUUCGUAAGCGUUCAAGUUAUAUCCGACAAGAAAGAUGCCACAACAAAAAACAAAAGAAACACCAUCAGCCCAACUUAUCAAAGAUUAUAUAAAUUUCCUCUAUCCCCGGGCGACCUUGCUUCAUAUACGAUACUCUUUGAGAUCAGUCGUUUUGAUCGAUACUCAAAAAAGUAUGAUAUUGGUGACGUCACGGUCCCUCUGGCAGAACUGGGCGUAGAUAUUAGCCAUGAGACAUUCUUUACAAGAGACAUUAUUCCCCAGAAGAAUAUAAAGGCUGACACUAGAAAACCGGGAUAUUCGACUACCGCUGGCUCCGAAGACAGUCGUGUAUUGAGACGAGUAAGAAAGGAUGCAAAGGUCAAACAACAUCCUCAGAUACUUUGGCACAAGUUGAGUCGUGCAGUUCAUGAUGGUUUAUAUCAAGGAAUACUACGAGGGCGUCACGAGUCACUGCAGUGGGAUCCAUUUCUAAUCAUACAGAAAUACGAAUACGCAGAGAGCGAUGAACCUUCAGACCAACAGGAAUUACCAAAUAACAACAGAAAACGACAUCAUGAUUUUCCUGAAGAAACACCAGAAUCAUACCCCGAGACAUUCAACUCGGUUACGAUGGAAAGCCCGCCUAUUAGUUAUUCCAGUCCACAACCAUCAGAUUCCAGCCCUGAAAGAUUAGAAACACUUCAAACACCUGUGAAUCGGGAGUUCUAUCGCUUGGUUCACUCCCCAGCACUCGGUCGAUCAGAUUCAAGCGAACCUGCAACCUCUUGGUCAAUUCCAGAAACAUUUCAUUUCCCUCCAUUACCAACUCGCUUGCAAUCUAGCACGGUCGUGUUUCAGAGCGCGCCUGCAGCAUGUCGCCCUCGACAACAUCGUCUUGACAGACUUCACAAAUUGACUUCUUUAUCGUCUAAUUAUCGUAAAAAUAUAUUAAGAAAGUCGCGGAGGAGAGUCACGUUAAGGCGAAGUAAACUAACAAGAAUGGAACCACUUCAUAGGUUACUGUACUUGGGUAAAGACACGAGGACAGAGAGAUCAUAUAAACGGUUGCGUGGUGAAGGAAUUAUAGUGACUCAGGGAAUUAACAAUAUUAUCAUACAAUGAAUUAUUGUUGAAGACGGAAUAUGCUGACUGAUUAGUUUAUUUUUCAGAUUAGGUAAAAGAUUUAAUUAUUUGUCAUUACACAUGAUUAUUUUUGGUGCUUCUGAAUGAAUGAAUAUUUAGAUGUUAUCUAAAUAUGUAUAAUACUCUGUGAAUAUUUAGAUGUUAUCUAUCUAUUGCUAUUGAAUAUAGAAGGAGUUUUCUGUUGUGUAAAACGAAGUCGGUUAUCAUUUUUAAAACAAUCUCGUAAUUUGCUUUUAUCGUCAGGGGAAAGAUAUAGCGCUUCAAUGAACUGGAAAACAUUAAACUGGUCGCAAUUAAAAAACGCCGCGAAUCGCGAUUGGCCAAACAGUUCAGUUGUUGAUAAAUCGAUAUAUAAAAGCAAAUAAGAAAUUGGAUACAGAUGCUUAUGUUGUGUUCAGUGUUUGACGGUUUCUAUCAGACUGUUUUUAUGUGUGCAGGUCGGACAAUCGUGCCAAAACCGAGACAUG